GCUACCGUUAGAGGACUUUCUUGCUUCUGUAAUCAAUUGUAGUGACUUUGAUUAGUUCAGAAUAAAAGCAGUAGUUCAUAGAGGACUCCACUGCUCAGUAGUGCAAUUCAAAGCAAAGAAUCCACUAUGGGCGGAAAGGUACUUUCAAAAGAUCUAUGAGAUAAAGUUGUGGAAAGGCACAAGUCAGGUGAUGGAUGUGAAAAGAUUUCAAAGGCUUUGUCCCUCGGAUCACUGUUAGGACCAUUAUUAAGAAAUGGAAGGUGCAUGGCACCACCCAGACCCUGUAUAGAUCAGUGUGUUCCUCCAAACUGGAUCACUGUUAGGACCAUUAUUAAGAAAUGGAAGGUGCAUGGCACCACCCAGACCCUGUAUAGAUCAGUGUGUUCCUCCAAACUGGAUCACUGUUAGGACCAUUAUUAAGAAAUGGAAGGUGCAUGGCACCACCCAGACCCUGUAUAGAUCAGUGUGUUCCUCCAAACUGGAUCACUGUUAGGACCAUUAUUAAGAAAUGGAAGGUGCAUGGCACCACUCAGACCCUGUAUAGAUCAGUGUGUUCCUCCAAACUGGAUCACUGUUAGGAACAUUAUUAAGAAAUGGAAGGUGCAUGGCACCACUCAGACCCUGUAUAGAUCAGUGUGUUCCUCCAAACUGGAUCACUGUUAGGACCAUUAUUAAGAAAUGGAAGGUGCAUGGCACCACUCAGACCCUGUAUAGAUCAGUGUGUUCCUCCAAACUGGAUCACUGUUAGGACCAUUAUUAAGAAAUGGAAGGUGCAUGGCACCACUCAGACCCUGUAUAGAUCAGUGUGUUCCUCCAAACUGGAUGACUGUUAGGACCAUUAUUAAGAAAUGGAAGGUGCAUGGCACCACUCAGACCCUGUAUAGAUCAGUGUGUUCCUCCAAACUGGAUGACUGUUAGGACCAUUAUUAAGAAAUGGAAGGUGCAUGGCACCACUCAGACCCUGUAUAGAUCAGUGUGUUCCUCCAAACUGGAUGACUGUUAGGACCAUUAUUAAGAAAUGGAAGGUGCAUGGCACCACUCAGACCCUGUAUAGAUCAGUGUGUUCCUCCAAACUGGAUGACUGUUAGGACCAUUAUUAAGAAAUGGAAGGUGCAUGGCACCACUCAGACCCUGUAUAGAUCAGUGUGUUCCUCCAAACUGGAUCACUGUUAGGACCAUUAUUAAGAAAUGGAAGGUGCAUGGCACCACUCAGACCCUGUAUAGAUCAGUGUGUUCCUCCAAACUGGAUGACCGGGCAAGGAGACUACCAGGAAGACGAAGGUGACUUUGAAGGAGCUUCCAGACUUUAUGGCAAAGACUGGUCAAUGUGUGUAUGUGACCACAAUAUCACAAGCUCUCCACAAAUCUGGGGUCUAUGGGAGGGUGGCAAGAAAAAAGCACUCCUCAAAAAAGGCCACAUAAUGUCUUGUUUGAGCUUUGCCAAAAAGCACAUUGUAGAUUCCGAGGCCAAGUGGCAAAAGGUGCUGUGGUCAGAUGAGACCAAAAUUGAACUUUUUGGACUAAAUCCAAAACGAUAUGUCUGGCGAAAACCCAAUACAUCUUUCCACCCAAAGAACACCAUGCCUACAGUAAAGCACGGCGGUGGCAGCAUCCUGUUGUUGAGGCGUUUCUCGUCAGCAGGGACUGGAGCGCUUGCACUGGAGAUAGAUUCUUGAGGAGAACCUGCAGCCCUCUGCCAGGAAGUUGAAAAUGGGAAGAUGGUUCACGCUUCAACAUGACAAUGAGCCAAAGCAACAGUACGGUGGCUGAAGGACAACAAGGUGAAUGUCCUUGAGUGAACUAGUCAGAGUGUAACAGUAUAACUUUAGACCGUCCCCUCGCCCAUACCCGGGCACGAACCAGGGACCCUCUGCACACAUCAACAACAGUCACCCACGAAGCAUUGUUACCCAUUGCUCCACAAAAGCCGCCAACACCCACCCAUAGGCGCUCCAGCGGGUAUAUUUUCACUGGUCAUCCCCAAAGCCAACACUUACUUUGGCCGCCUUUCCUUCCAGUUCUCUGCUGCCAAUGACUGGAACGAAUUGUAAAAAUCACUGAAGCUGGAGACUUAUAUCUCCCUCACUAGUUUUAAGCAUCAGCUGUCAGAGCAGCUUUCCGAUCACUGUACCUGUACACAGCCAUCUGUAAAUAGCACACCCAACUACCUCAUCCCCAUAUUAUUAUUUACCCUCUUGCUCUUUUGCACCCCAGUAUCUCUACUUGCACAUCAUCAUCUGCACAUCUAUCACUCCAGUGUUAAUGCUAAAUUGUAAUUAUUUCACCUCUAUGGCCUAUUUAUUGCCUUACCUCCCUUCUCUUCUACAUUUGCACACACUGUACAUAUAUUUUUCUAUUGUGUUAUUGACUGUAUGUUUGCUUGUGUAACUCUGUUGUUUUUGUCACAGUGCUUUGCUUUAUCUUGGCCAGGUCGCAGUUGUAAAUGAACUUGUUCUCAACUGGCCUACCUGGUUAAAUAAAGGUGAAAUAAAAUAAAUAAAAAAUAAAGAGUGCUUGGUUGCAAAUGUGACGUGACUAAGUCCAAUUGCUCUUGCGACUCAUUAUCUGAAGUGCCUAGAGAGGAAUAGUAACUUUUUUACUAUGUUUGGUAAACGUAUAAUACUUCACUAACCUUUUGUUGAUUGCUUCCAUUUUCUAGCCUGGCCUCUGUUUUUCAUAUGGGGCUCCCGAGUGGCGAAGCAGUCUAAGGCACUGCAUCUCAGUGCUAUAGGUGUCACUACAAUCCCUGGUUCGAAUCCAGGCUGUAUCACAUCUGGCUGUGACCGGGAGUCCCAUAGGGCUGUGCACG